GCCAUCUCGAGGAAGUUCUUGAGAUAGGUCCCGUUACUGAUCUAUGUGCUAGAGUGUCUUCUGUAAGGCUUGUUACAGGCAUGUGUGCGUAAAGGCUUCUUCUUCAUGGCCUCCCCUGACUCACUCUGUUUUGUUACAGUUUGACAUAAGUGACUCCAUUUUGGCACCAGCACCUUUCACACAUGGUAGGGAAAGAAAGGUAGGAACCCACAGAGAACAACUGAACAGAAUUCUUAAACAGAUGCCUCCAAAUUUUUACUCAAAUACGGCUUAGGGAAAACCAUCCUUCCAUCCUUGUAGGUAUCAUCAGUGUUUAUUCUCAGAAAUGUUUUAAUUCCUCCAUUCAGAAUCAGCAGACCUUCACUCUGGGUUACUCACAUAAAAGCACCACAUAGCUCAUUUCUUACUGAAAUUAGAGGGUUGCCCUCCACGAAGAGCAUUAGGGCUUAUUCGUUUAUCCAUCAGACACAGACAGCUCUUGAGGUAUCUGAAGCCUGUCUCUUCAGGUACACAAAGCAUUACAGCAUUAAGUCAGCAGAGCGAAGGACCAUGAUUUUGCAAUGAAAAUAAUAAUUUAGUGCAAAGUACAAUUAACAUUUGAGUCUGUCUGAGUCAUGAAGAAAUGGAGAUUACUGAAAAUAAUUCAUUUUGGUAUCUUCUUACAUCCUGAGAGACUAAUCUUUCCAAGUUCAUCUGAGGCUCCUCUUCUCCAUGACAACCUCAUCCAGGGAUUUCUUCCUGUCCUGGUGUUUUAUGACAUAAUCACAUCCUUCCUGAGAUAAUGAGCACACAAUUGCCUGGAUACCUGAAGGAAUGGAGACAGCGGCAGAAAACACUGCAGAGAGGUGGAAACAUCCGUUAAUAUUUUAAAAUCCCAUUACUGCUACCAACAAUAAUAAUGGAUGCAUAGAAAUAGAUCUGGAUUAGCUGAGCUUGAAACAGUCCAUCUCACACACACACAAAAGAAUUUCAGAUACAGUGAACCCACAUGUUGAAGCUUUCUAGUAUAAUAAAAAUUUCAACUGUUCUGUUGAAUCAUCUGCCUGAUUGGAGGCUACAGAAAAGAUGUCAUCUUAGGAGUGCUUGCUCUGAGUGAGGCUCAUCUUCAAAUCUGAAUGACCACAAGGAGAUUUGAUUAUACAUGUGAACACCUCAGAAGGCACAGCCCACCCAGAAGGCAGACAGGUCAGGCUGCUUUUUCUUCAUUGCUUGGAUUCAAUCCUCCGGGCGGCUCAGGCUCAAACAUAACUUAAGCAUGAUUAAACUUUAGAAGAAGCUGCCAGGAAGACUGUGAAAUCUUCAUGCCCAAGGAUCCCUAAAAUUAGGAGCAACAACCACUUGGCUCAGACGGUUUAUGGAGGCAAAGGUUUGGAUGGGAUUAGAGAUUUCUAAAUGUGAGUUCGUGUCCUCUGCCAGACCACCUUACUUCCACCAUUCCUCAGCAAAUCAAGAAAAACAGGAGAAAAGACAUGCCUUUCCAUAAGUUAAAUCUAUUCUGUUUUAAUUCUAUAUUAUAUCUGCUGUACAACUUC
rnacentral:lncRNA from 1 species